rnacentral:lncRNA from 1 species
AUGAUGCGCCCGCCUGCGUCCUCCGUGGGGAUACUCCUCCUCCUGAUUGGCUCCGCGCUGGCAGGCACCGAGCCCGACCUGCGGCCUCGAGCCGUGCGUUCCAGCGCCUGUCAGGAUCACACUAACCUUCACCACCGCAUCGAUGCAGUGGAGAAGAAAGUGGAGGACACGGUUGAGAAGUUGGAGGCGGAGCUUGCGCUUCUUCUGGACACCAUUGAAGCCCCAGAGUGGCGCCCACUGUUGGACAACAUGGGAAACACAGCUGUGGACAUUCUGGAUGAUCCAGGACAAAUAUUAAAUUAACCUACACAGAAACAAGGCUCCUGAAUGUUACCUGGACGUUUCUAUGACUAGGAAAUUAUCAUGUAUGUCUAUGUUUGAGUUGAGUUGAUCCCAUGACUUCCUGUUCAAUUCAUUGAAAGUUUUUGUGCAAUUCCCACCCUGCUCUCUAUCGCCCCCUGCUGUCUGCUCACAAACUGUGUAACUGGGUAACAAUGACAGAAGACAGAAAGGUCCAGGAAGAGUUUUAUUUCUUUAUCAAAGCAGGUAAAGCAGCAUGUUUGAAACACACGGCGCAGCUUCAGUUAGUACUAACAAGGCUUUCACUCGUCCCCCUGUAAAAAUCUUGCAGCACGAGAUAAUGCAAAAUAGAUCACAAAGAGGAAAUAAGAGGCAAAGAUCACGUUUUCUUCUGGAUUUUUUUUCUCCACAGGGCACUGAGUUUCAGAAUGAUUUCAGACAUUACAGCAUGAUACACCUCAAGAGCACUGGUCAGGAAAAGACUGAAUAGGAGACAUGCUGCUGCUGGUCAAACACUAGCACAAAGCCUUUGUUGAAAACACCUAACGGCAUCCAGAACAUUAACACAUGAAGAAACAUGUCAGGAGAAUCUGCAAGCACAGUCCAAUUAAGAAAAAUCACCAACAGCCAGAAAUAAAUGGGGAAAAAACUGUAGUAAGUGUUGCA